GACGAACGCUGGCGGCGUGCUUAACACAUGCAAGUCGAACGGUAAGGCCCUUCGGGGUACACGAGUGGCGAACGGGUGAGUAACACGUGGGUGAUCUGCCCUGCACUUCGGGAUAAGCCUGGGAAACUGGGUCUAAUACCGGAUAGGACCACUGCCUGCAUGGGUGGUGGUGGAAAGCUUUUGCGGUGUGGGAUGGGCCCGCGGCCUAUCAGCUUGUUGGUGGGGUGAUGGCCUACCAGGGCGACGACGGGUAGCCGGCCUGAGAGGGUGACCGGCCACACUGGGACUGAGAUACGGCCCAGACUCGUACGGGAGGCAGCAGUGGGGAAUAUUGCACAAUGGGCGCAAGCCUGAUGCAGUGACGCCGCGUGAGGGAUGACGGCCUUCGGGUUGUAAACCUCUUUCAGCACCGACGAAGCGCAAGUGACGGUAGGUGCAGAAGAAGGACCGGCCAACUACGUGCCAGCCGCCGCCGUAA
rnacentral:rRNA from 1 species